rnacentral:rRNA from 1 species
AUUGAACGCUGGCGGCAGGCUUAACACAUGCAAGUCGAACGAGUGGCGGACGGGUGAGUAAUGCUUGGGAAUCUGGCUGAUGGAGGGGGAUAACUACGGGAAACUGUAGCUAAUACCGCGUACCAUAGGAUGAGCCCAAGUGGGAUUAGGUAGUUGGUGAGGUAAAGGCUCACCGAGCCGACGAUCCCUAGCUGGUCUGAGAGGAUGACCAGCCACACGGGGACUGAGUGACGGCCCAGACUCCUACGGGAGGCAGCAGUGGGGAAUAUUGCGCAAUGGGGGCAACCUGACGCAGCCAUGCCGCGUGAAUGAAGAAGGCCUUCGGGUUGUAAAGUUCUUUCGGUAGCGAGGCGUUAACCACAGAAGAAGCACCGGCUAACUCCGUGCCAGCAGCCGCGGUAAUAC